UUCUGGUUGAUCUUGCCAGUAGUCAUAAGCCUGUCUCAGAGAUUAGGCCAUGAAUGUCGACAUACAUAUCUUUAAACGGUGAAACCUCGAAUAGUCCGCCAAAUCAGCUGAAGUUCCUUGGAUGGUACACACUACGGGGAUAACUGCAGCAGUUUUAGAGCUAAUACAUGCCACUACGCCCUGGCCCUCGAGGGAAAGGGGGAGUUUAUUAGAACAGAACCAUCCGAGGGUGGCUUUGGUCGUCCCUGAUGCAUUCUGUGAUGAGUCUAGAUAACUUCGCUGAUCGUAAUCUUCUUUGUGUCGGCGACGAACCUUUCAAAUGUCUGCUCCAUCAGUUUUCGAUGGCAGGUGACCUGCCUACCAUGGUACUAACGGGUAACGGGGAAUCAGUGUUCCAUUCCGGGGAGAGAGCCUGAGAAACGGCUUGCACUUUCAAGGAAGGCGGCAGGCCCACAAAUUACUCUAUCCAGCACGGAGAGGUGGUGAAGCAAAAUGCGGACAAGGGGCUAGCUAGAGGGUCCUUAAUUCGAAUGAGUACAACUUAAAUCCUUCAAUGAGGAUCAACUGGAGGGUUAGUCCGGUGCCAGCAGCCGCGGUAACUGAAGCUCCGGAAGCGUGUGAUAAAGUUGUUGUAGUCAAAAAGCUCCCAGUUGAAUCUAUGUUGCAUGGCUACAUGCCUUCGCUCGUGAGUUUUGAAGGGUUACUGCCGGGUUGAGCAUGCGAGUCGAUCUCGCAGUUGUGCUUCCUUUCUGUUGUGUCUGUUUACAGGUGUCAGCGUGACUGGUGGGCUUGCCUGCUAGUCUGUUGGCAUGCUUCUUGGUGCCUUUAAUCGGGUGUCGGAGGCGGACAGCACGUUUACUUUGAACAAAUUUGAGUGCUCAAAGCAGGCCUUUGUGCCUGAAAAUUCUUGCAUGGAAUAAUGAAAUGGGACUCUGGUUCUGUUUUGUUGGGUUUUGGAUCCGAAGUAGUGGCUAAGGGGGAUAGACUGGGGGAUUUGUAUGGCGGUGUCAGAGGUGAAAUUCUCGGAUCGUUACCAGACAUACUACGGUGAAAGUGUUUGCCGAAGAUAUUUUCAUUGAUCUUGAGCGAAAGUGAGAAGUUCGAAGGCGAUCAGAUGCCCCCCUAGUUGUGGCCAUAAAUGAAGCCAACUGACCAUCCGCGGUGGUUCCUUUUGUGUCCUCAAAGGCAGUCCCCGGGAGACCCUCAAGUCUUUGGGCUCCUGGGGAAGUACGAUUGCAAAGCUGAAACUUAAAGGAAUUGACGGAAGGGCACCACCAGGAGUGGAGCCUGCGGCUUAAUUCGACUCAACGCGAGAAAACUCAACCGGGUCGGACACUGUGAGGACUGACAGAUUGACAGGUCUUUUUGAUUCGAUGGUUGAUGGUACAUGGCCGUUCUUAGUUCGUGGAGCGAUUUGUCUGGUUAAUUCCGAUAACGAACGAGAUUCUGGCCCGCUAAAUAGUAUGCCUGUCCUCUGUGCUCGCGCAGGUUGCAUCGUCCAUUGCCUCCUCGUGGGGUAGUGGUUACGCUGGCCGGCGGGCGCUGCGCAUGUACUUACUUCUUAGGAAAACAAGCGGCAUUCAGUCUCACGAAAUUGAAAAAUAACAGACCUGUAGAGCACUUAGAUGUCCGGGGCCGCUUGUGCGCUACCACGACGCUUUCGG
rnacentral:rRNA from 1 species